rnacentral:rRNA from 1 species
GAUGAACGCUGGCGGCGUGCCUAAUACAUGCAAGUCGAGCGAACGGACGAGAAGCUUGCUUCUCUGAUGUUAGCGGCGGACGUGUGAGUAACACGUGGAUAACCUACCUAUAAGACUGGGAUAACUUCGGGAAACCGGAGCUAAUACCGGAUAAUAUUUUGAACCGCAUGGUUCAAAAGUGAAAGACGGUCUUGCUGUCACUUAUAGAUGGAUCCGCGCUGCAUUAGCUAGUUGGUAAGGUAACGGCUUACCAAGGCAACGAUGCAUAGCCGACCUGAGAGGGUGAUCGGCCACACUGGAACUGAGACACGGUCCAGACUCCUACGGGAGGCAGCAGUAGGGAAUCUUCCGCACUGGGCGAAAGCCUGACGGAGCAACGCCGCGUGAGUGAUGAAGGUCUUCGGAUCGUAAAACUCUGUUAUUAGGGAAGAACAUAUGUGUAAGUAACUGUGCACAUCUUGACGGUACCUAAUCAGAAAGCCACGGCUAACUACGUG